UACGGAGGGAGCUAGCGUUGUUCGGAAUUACUGGGCGUAAAGCGCGCGUAGGCGGCUUUGUAAGUUAGAGGUGAAAGCCCGGGGCUCAACCCCGGAACUGCCUUUAAGACUGCAUCGCUUGAAUCCGGGAGAGGUGAGUGGAAUUCCGAGUGUAGAGGUGAAAUUCGUAGAUAUUCGGAAGAACACCAGUGGCGAAGGCGGCUCACUGGACCGGCAUUGACGCUGAUGUGCGAAAGCGUGGGGAGCAAACAGGUUAGAUACC
rnacentral:rRNA from 1 species